rnacentral:lncRNA from 1 species
GUUUUUCAGACUGCCUUCACCCAGAUUUAUGACUCAUGACUCAAUCGAUCCUGUGGCCCCAUCCAGAGGCAGACUCAGUGCAUGAGGACCAUUUUUCCACAUCCCUGGGGAAAUAAGUCUGGCUUUGGUAAAUUUUUAUGUUUGAAUGGAAGAUUAAAUUAGCCUUAUAAAUUUCUUAAUGUUUAAAGAAAUUCAUGAUCACUAUAGCAGCUGUGCAGGGAGAGCCCAGCUAUGAAAGGGGAAACUUUGGACUAACUUUCCCGUUCCUCAGUGGUGUUUGAAAUGUGUAUGUUUUCUUACAUUUGCAUCAGAUUUGGGGUCUGCCAGUUCUUUCUUCUUAUGCUCUAAUUUGAUAUUUCAUAUUAUUUCUUUUUGUUUUUAUUUUUUAGGACUGAAGACUUGAGAGGUCUCCUUCAACUGCAAUUUUAGCCCUGGCUUUAGGCAAUUUUCCAAAUGUAAAACUGCUUUCAAGAAAUCAGUGUGGUAUCACAGGGAGCUGGGGUCAGUAGAAAAAGAAGACACAAAGUCUCUCCUAGAACUCCAUAGGCCAAUCAAAUGACCUUUUAUAGAAACAACUGAAAUUCCUUUUUCAAAAGCACAGAAAUGCUAAUUGAAACCAAACCAAACAAACCCACCCCACAAGGACU